GACCAGACUCCUACGGGAGGCAGCAGUAGGGAAUCUUCGGCAAUGGACGAAAGUCUGACCGAGCAACGCCGCGUGAGUGAAGAAGGUUUUCGGAUCGUAAAACUCUGUUGGUAGGGAAGAACGUUGGUGAGAGUGGAAAGCUCAUCAAGUGACGGUAACUACCCAGAAAGGGACGGCUAACUACGUGCCAGCAGCCGCGGUAAUACGUAGGUCCCGAGCGUUGUCCGGAUUUAUUGGGCGUAAAGCGAGCGCAGGUGGUUUAUUAAGUCUGGUGUAAAAGGCAGUGGCUCAACCAUUGUAUGCAUUGGAAACUGGUAGACUUGAGUGCAGGAGAGGAGAGUGGAAUUCCAUGUGUGGCGGUGAAAUGCGUAGAUAUCAGGAGGAACACCGGCGGCGAAGGCGGCCUGCUGGACCGUGACUGACGUUGAGGCUCGAGAGCGUGGGGAGCAAACAGGAUUAGAUACCCCUGUA
rnacentral:rRNA from 1 species